CCUACGGGGGGCUGCAGUGGGGAAUAUUGGACAAUGGGGGCAACCCUGAUCCAGCCAUGCCGCGUGUGUGAAGAAGGCCCUCGGGUUGUAAAGCACUUUCAGUGAGGAAGAACGCCUGGUGGUUAAUAUCCAUCAGGAAAGACAUCACUCACAGAAGAAGCACCGGCUAACUCCGUGCCAGCAGCCGCGGUAAUACGGAGGGUGCGAGCGUUAAUCGGAAUUACUGGGCGUAAAGCGCGCGUAGGUGGCUUGAUAAGCCGGUUGUGAAAGCCCCGGGCUCAACCUGGGAACGGCAUCCGGAACUGUCAAGCUAGAGUGCAGGAGAGGAAGGUAGAAUUCCCGGUGUAGCGGUGAAAUGCGUAGAGAUCGGGAGGAAUACCAGUGGCGAAGGCGGCCUUCUGGACUGACACUGACACUGAGGUGCGAAAGCGUGGGUAGCAAACAGGAUUAGAUACCCUAGUAGUC
rnacentral:rRNA from 1 species